UACGGAAGGCAGCAGUGGGGAAUCUUGCGCAAUGGGCGAAAGCCUGACGCAGCCAUGCCGCGUGGAUGAUGAAGGUCUUAGGAUUGUAAAAUCCUUUCACCGGUGAAGAUAAUGACUGUAGCCGGAGAAGAAGCCCCGGCUAACUUCGUGCCAGCAGCCGCGGUAAUACGAAGGGGCUAGCGUUGCUCGGAAUUACUGGGCGUAAAGGGAGCGUAGGCGGACAUUUAAGUCAGGGGUGAAAUCCCCAGAGCUCAACUCUGGAACUGCCUUUUGAUACUGGGUGUCUUGAGUGUGAUAGAGGUAUGUGGAACUCCGAGUGUAGAGGUGAAAUUCGUAGAUAUUCGGAAGAACACCAGUGGCGAAGGCGACAUACUGGAUCAUUACUGACGCUGAGGCUCGAAAGCGUGGGGAGCAAACAGGGAUUAGAUACC
rnacentral:rRNA from 1 species